GGGCCGCUGGUCUAGUGGUAUGAUUCUCGCUUAGGGUUCACCCUGAUGUUUACAAAGUCAAUCUUCCUUUCAGAGGAAAGCUUGCGAGAGGUCCCGGGUUCAAUCCCCGGGUGGCCCC
rnacentral:tRNA from 1 species